CACACGCAGCCUGAGUCCAUGGGCGGGUCCGGUCCGUUCAGAACCGAUCAGUUCAGAACUUGGUCCGUUCAGAACCCGGUCCGUUCAGAACCGGUCAGUUCAGAACCCGGUCCGUUCAGAACCCGGUCCGUUCAGAACCUGGUCCGUUCAGAACCAACAGGCCCGUUCAGAACCGGUCAGUUCAGAACUUGGUCCGUUCAGAACCCAGUCCAUUUAGGACCCAGUUUGUUUAAGUCCUGUCGGUCCAUUAAGAACCCGUUCCAUUCAGAACCCGGGCCGUUCAGAACCCGGUCCGUUCAGAACCGGUCCAUUUAGGACCCGGUCUGUUCAUGAACUUGGUCCGUUUAGAACCAACAGGCCCGUUUAGAACUUGGGCCGUUCAGAACCCGCAGGUCCGUUUUGAACCCGUUCCAUUUAGAACCAGCAGGUCCGUUUAGAACCAGCAGGCCCGUUUAGAACCUUAGAACUAGCAGGCCCGUGUAGAACCUUAGAACCAGCAGGCCCGUGAAGAACUUUAGAACCAGCAGGCCCGUUUAGAACCAACAGGCCCGUGUAGAACCAGCAGGCCUGUUUAGAACCUUAGAACCAGUAGGCCCGUUUAGAACCUUAGAACCAGCAGGUCCGUUUAGAACCAGCAGGUCCGUUUAGAACCUUAGAACUAGCAGGCCCGUGUAGAACCUUAGAACCAGCAGGCCCGUGUAGAACUUUAGAACAAGCAGGCCCGUUUAGAACCAACAGGCCCGUGUAGAACCAGCAGGCCUGUUUAGAACCUUAGAACCAGUAGGCCCGUUUAGAACCAACAGGCCCGUUUAGAACCUUAGAACUAGCAGGCCCGUGUAGAACCUUAGAACCAGCAGGCCCGUGUAGAACUUUAGAACAAGCAGGCCCGUUUAGAACCAACAGGCCCGUGUAGAACCAGCAGGCCCGUGUAGAACUUUAGAACCAGCAGGCCCGUUUAGAACCAACAGGCCCGUGUAGAACCAGCAGGCCUGUUUAGAACCUUAGAACCAGUAGGCCCGUUUAGAACCAACAGGCCCGUUUAGAACCUUAGAACUAGCAGGCCCGUGUAGAACCUUAGAACCAGCAGGCCCGUGUAGAACUUUAGAACAAGCAGGCCCGUUUAGAACCAACAGGCCCGUGUAGAACCAGCAGGCCCGUGUAGAACUUUAGAACCCGCAGGUCUGUGUAGAACCAACAGGCCCAUGUAGAACCUUGGAACCAGCAGGCCCGUGUAGAACCAACAGGUCCGUGUAGAACCUUAGAACCAACAGGUCCGUGUAGAACCAACAGGUCCGUUUAGAACCAGCAGGCCCGUUUAGAACCAACAGGGCCGUUUAGAACCAGGUCCGUGUAGAACCAACAGGUCCGUUAAGAACCAGGCCCGUGUAGAACCAACGGGCCAGU